UCCCGUGUGGCUCAGUUGGUAGAGCAUGGUGUUUGCAACGCCAGGGUUCGAUUCCCACGGGGG
rnacentral:tRNA from 1 species